GACGAACGCUGGCGGCGUGCCUAAUACAUGCAAGUCGAGCGAAGCGGCGGAUGGGUGAGUAACGCGUGGGUAACCUGCCCUUAAGUCUGGGAUACCAUUUGGAAACAGAUGCUAAUACCGGAUACUAAAGGAUGGACCGGCGCUGCAUUAGUUAGGUGGUAAGGUAACGGCUUACAAAGGCGAUGAUGCAGAGCCGAGUUGAGAGGAUGACCAGCAACACUGGAACUGAGACAGGGCCCGAACUCCUACGUGAGGCAGCAGUAGGGAAUCUUCCACAAUGGACGAAAGUCUGAUGGAGCAAAGCCGCGUGAGUGAAGAAGGUUUUCGGAUCGUAAAGCUCUGUUGUUGGUGAAGCGGUAAUCAACCAGAAAGUCACGGCUAACUACGUGACAGCAGCCGCGGUAAUUC
rnacentral:rRNA from 1 species